GUGGGGAAUUUUGGACAAUGGGCGCAAGCCUGAUCCAGCAAUGCCGCGUGCAGGAAGAAGGACUUCGGGUUGUAAACUGCUUUUGUACGGAACGAAACGGUCCGGGUUAAUACCCUGGGCUAAUGACGGUACCGUAAGAAUAAGCACCGGCUAACUACGUGCCAGCAGCCGCGGUAAUACGUAGGGUGCAAGCGUUAAUCGGAAUUACUGGGCGUAAAGCGUGCGCAGGCGGUUUUGUAAGACAGGCGUGAAAUCCCCGGGCUCAACCUGGGAAUUGCGCUUGUGACUGCAAGGCUGGAGUGCGGCAGAGGGGGAUGGAAUUCCGCGUGUAGCAGUGAAAUGCGUAGAUAUGCGGAGGAACACCGAUGGCGAAGGCAAUCCCCUGGACCUGUACUGACGCUCAUGCACGAAAGCGUGGGGAGCAAACAGGAUUAGAUACCCGGGUAGUCC
rnacentral:rRNA from 1 species